rnacentral:lncRNA from 1 species
AUGAGUGAGCGAACGGAUGCCUGCUCGCGGCUGCCAGCGAGGCCCCGUGUCUGCGGCCGGGUCGGGGGAGGGCGGCCGAGGCCCGGCCUCAGUGGCUCCGGCGCGGGGCCCGAGCCGGGAGCCGGCGGGGUUGCCCCGGGAGGGCGCGGGGCGCGGCGGGGGCAGGGCAGGGCAGGGCAGGGCAGGGCAGGGCAGCGCAGCGCAGGGCGCGGACACACCCCCUGCAGUGCCCCCGGCGCCCGGCAGGGGGCGCCGCCCCGCCCCCGCCCCGCCGCCCCGGGCAGGCCCCUCGCGCAGGCGCGCUGCGGCGGGCGGAGGAUCCGGGCCGCGCUUCCUCUCGCCAGGCCUGCGAGCUUCCUCCCGGCGGAGCCCCGGGCGAGCCCAGCGUGUCCGCCGCCGCCCCCCGCCCGCGCCCGCCCGCCCGGGGGCCCGCGGGGAGGGGUCCGAGCGGGGCGCCCCCGCCGUCGGGGCCGCGUCCCGGCCAGCCCGCGGCCGCCAGACCCCGCCCGGCCCUGCAGCGCGGGAGCCCGCCGCCCCGACCCCGGCCCCGGCCCCGGCCCCGGCCCCGGCUCCCCGCCCCGGCCCCGGCCCCCUCCCCGCCCCGGCCCGGCCGCCACGUCCCCGCCCCGGCCCGGCCCCGGCCCCGGCCCGGCCCGGCCGCGCUCGGAAGCGGAACUCUGCGGGGCCGCGCGGCUACAUUGUUUCCUCCCGCCGCCCCCGCCCCCGCCCCCGCCCCCCCCCCCCGCCGCCGCCGCCGCCGCCGCCGCCGCUUUGUACCGCGCCCCCGGGGACCCCGCGCCCUCCGCGCCCCGGCCGCGUGCGCCGCCCCGCAGCCCGCUGAUGCUGCCCGCCGCGGGGUGGCCGGACCGCAGCGCCCCGAGAGGUGAGUGCGGGCGGGGUCUGGGGGAGGGGGCGGCCGGGGGCCGGGGCAGGUCGCGCCUCCCGCUCGCCGGGCCCGGGGCGCCGCGCUCGCGUCCCCCCGCCCUGACCCCCGCCUUCCCGGUUUGA